UGGGGAAUAUUGGACAAUGGGCGAAAGCCUGAUCCAGCCAUGCCGCGUGUGUGAAGAAGGCCCUCGGGUUGUAAAGCACUUUCAGUGGGGAAGAAAGCCUUGGGAUUAAUACUCCCGAGGAAGGACAUCACCCACAGAAGAAGCACCGGCUAACUCCGUGCCAGCAGCCGCGGUAAUACGGAGGAUGCGAGCGUUAAUCGGAAUUACUGGGCGUAAAGCGCGCGUAGGCGGUCUGAUAAGCCGGUUGUGAAAGCCCCGGGCUCAACCUGGGAACGGCAUCCGGAACUGUCAGGCUAGAGUGCAGGAGAGGAAGGUAGAAUUCCCGGUGUAGCGGUGAAAUGCGUAGAGAUCGGGAGGAAUACCAGUGGCGAAGGCGGCCUUCUGGACUGACACUGACACUGAGGUGCGAAAGCGUGGGUAGCAAACA
rnacentral:rRNA from 1 species